rnacentral:rRNA from 1 species
GACGAACGCUGGCGGCGUGCCUAAUACAUGCAAGUCGAACGAGAGCGACCGGUGCUUGCACUGGUCAAUCUAGUGGCGAACGGGUGAGUAACACGUGGGUAACCUGCCCAUCAGAGGGGGAUAACAUCCGGAAACGGAUGCUAAAACCGCAUAGGUCUUCGAACCGCAUGGUUUGAAGAGGAAAAGAGGCGCAAGCUUCUGCUGAUGGAUGGACCCGCGGUGCAUUAGCUAGUUGGUGAGGUAACGGCUCACCAAGGCCGUGAUGCAUAGCCGACCUGAGAGGGUGAUCGGCCACAUUGGGACUGAGACACGGCCCAAACUCCUACGGGAGGCAGCAGUAGGGAAUCUUCCGCAAUGGACGCAAGUCUGACGGAGCAACGCCGCGUGAGUGAAGAAGGUUUUCGUAUCGUAAAACUCUGUUGUUAGAGAAGAACAAGUGCUAGAGUAACUGUUAGCGCCUUGACGGUAUCUAACCAGAAAGCCACGGCUAACUACGUG